AUUGAACGCUGGCGGCAUGCCUUACACAUGCAAGUCGAACGGCAGCGGGGGAGAAGCUUGCUUUUCCUGCCGGCGAGUGGCGAACGGGUGAGUAAUACAUCGGAGCGUGCCCUGUAGUGGGGGAUAACUAGUCGAAAGAUUAGCUAAUACCGCAUACGACCUGAGGGUGAAAGUGGGGGACCGCAAGGCCUCAUGCUAUAGGAGCGGCCGAUGUCUGAUUAGCUAGUUGGUGGGGUAAAGGCCUACCAAGGCGACGAUCAGUAGCUGGUCUGAGAGGACGAUCAGCCACACUGGGAAUGAGACACGGCCCAGACUCCUACGGGAGGCAGCAGUGGGGAAUUUUGGACAAUGGGCGAAAGACUGAUCCAGCAAUGCCGCGUGCGUGAAGAAGGCCUUCGGGUUGUAAAGCGCUUUUGUCCGGAAAGAAAUGGCUCUGGUUAAUACCUGGGGUCGAUGACGGUACCGGAAGAAUAAGGACCGGCUAACUACGUGCCAGCCGCCGCAGUAA
rnacentral:rRNA from 1 species